GGUGGUGUAGCUCAGUGGUAGGGCGCAUGCUUAGCCUGCACGAGGUCCUGGGUUCAAUCCCCAGUGCCUCCA
rnacentral:tRNA from 1 species